GUUGCUGGAGGUAUCAGAAGUGCGAAUGCUGACAUAAGUAACGAUAAAGCGGGUGAAAAGCCCGCUCGCCGGAAGACCAAGGGUUCCUGUCCAACGUUAAUCGGGGCAGGGUGAGUCGACCCCUAAGGCGAGGCCGAAAGGCGUAGUCGAUGGGAAACAGGUUAAUAUUCCUGUACUUGGUGUUACUGCGAAGGGGGGACGGAGAAGGCUAUGUUGGCCGGGCGACGGUUGUCCCGGUUUAAGCGUGUAGGCUGGUUUUCCAGGCAAAUCCGGAAAACCAAGGCUGAGGCGUGAUGACGAGGCACUACGGUGCUGAAGUGACAAAUGCCCUGCUUCCAGGAAAAGCCUCUAAGCAUCAGGUAACAUCAAAUCGUACCCCAAACCGACACAGGUGGUCAGGUAGAGAAUACCAAGGCGCUUGAGAGAACUCGGGUGAAGGAACUAGGCAAAAUGGUGCCGUAACUUCGGGAGAAGGCACGCUGAUAUGUAGGUGAAGCGACUUGCUCGUGGAGCUGAAAUCAGUCGAAGAUACCAGCUGGCUGCAACUGUUUAUUAAAAACACAGCACUGUGCAAACACGAAAGUGGACGUAUACGGUGUGACGCCUGCCCGGUGCCGGAAGGUUAAUUGAUGGGGUUAGCGGUAACGCGAAGCUCUUGAUCGAAGCCCCGGUAAACGGCGGCCGUAACUAUAACGGUCCUAAGGUAGCGAAAUUCCUUGUCGGGUAAGUUCCGACCUGCACGAAUGGCGUAAUGAUGGCCAGGCUGUCUCCACCCGAGACUCAGUGAAAUUGAACUCGCUGUGAAGAUGCAGUGUACCCGCGGCAAGACGGAAAGACCCCGUGAACCUUUACUAUAGCUUGACACUGAACAUUGAGCCUUGAUGUGUAGGAUAGGUGGGAGGCUUUGAAGUGUGGACGCCAGUCUGCAUGGAGCCGACCUUGAAAUACCACCCUUUAAUGUUUGAUGUUCUAACGUUGGCCCCUAAUCGGGGUUGCGGACAGUGUCUGGUGGGUAGUUUGACUGGGGCGGUCUCCUCCUAAAGAGUAACGGAGGAGCACGAAGGUUGGCUAAUCCUGGUCGGACAUCAGGAGGUUAGUGCAAUGGCAUAAGCCAGCUUGACUGCGAGCGUGACGGCGCGAGCAGGUGCGAAAGCAGGUCAUAGUGAUCCGGUGGUUCUGAAUGGAAGGGCCAUCGCUCAACGGAUAAAAGGUACUCCGGGGAUAACAGGCUGAUACCGCCCAAGAGUUCAUAUCGACGGCGGUGUUUGGCACCUCGAUGUCGGCUCAUCACAUCCUGGGGCUGAAGUAGGUCCCAAGGGUAUGGCUGUUCGCCAUUUAAAGUGGUACGCGAGCUGGGUUUAGAACGUCGUGAGACAGUUCGGUCCCUAUCUGCCGUGGGCGCUGGAGAACUGAGGGGGGCUGCUCCUAGUACGAGAGGACCGGAGUGGACGCAUCACUGGUGUUCGGGUUGUCAUGCCAAUGGCACUGCCCGGUAGCUAAAUGCGGAAGAGAUAAGUGCUGAAAGCAUCUAAGCACGAAACUUGCCCCGAGAUGAGUUCUCCCUGAGACUUAGAGUCUCCUGAAGGAACGUUGAAGACGACGACGUUGAUAGGCCGGGUGUGUAAGCGCAGCGAUGCGUUGAGCUAACCGGUACUAAUGAACCGUGAGGCUUAACCUUACAACGCCGAAG
rnacentral:rRNA from 1 species